rnacentral:rRNA from 1 species
AGCGAACGUUUGCGGCGGGCCUAACACAUGCAAGUCGAACGCACUAGCAAUAGUGAGUGGCGCACGGGUGCGUAACACGUGGGUAAUCAACCUUCAGCCUGGGAUAACGACUCGAAAGGGUCGCUAAUACCGGAUACGGCGCGAGAGGCUUCGGCUUCUCACGAGAAAGCCACGCAAGGGGCACUGAAGGACGAGCCUGCGGCCCAUCAGCUAGUUGGUGAGGUAAGAGCUCACCAAGGCUAAGACGGGUAGCUGGUCUGAGAGGAUGAUCAGCCACACUGGAACUGAGACACGGUCCAGACUCCUACGGGAGGCAGCAGUGGGGAAUAUUGCGCAAUGGGCGAAAGCCUGACGCAGCCACGCCGCGUGAGCGAUGAAGGCCUUCGGGUCGUAAAGCUCUGUGGGGAGAGACGAAGAAAGCCUGUGAAGAGCAGGCCUUGACGGUAUCUCCUUAGCAAGCACCGGCUAACUCCGUG